rnacentral:rRNA from 1 species
GACAGAGGGUGCAAACGUUGUUCGGAAUUACUGGGCGUAAAGCGCGUGUAGGCGGCUACGUAAGUCGGGCGUGAAAUCCCACGGCUCAACUGUGGAAGAGCACUCGAAACUGCGUAGCUAGAGUCCUGGAGAGGAAGGUGGAAUACUUGGUGUAGAGGUGAAAUUCGUAGAUAUCAAGUGGAACACCAGUGGCGAAGGCGGCCUUCUGGACAGUGACUGACGCUGAGACGCGAAAGCGUGGGGAGCAAACAGG